GAUGAAGAACGUAGUGAAAUGCGAUACUUGGUGUGAAUUGCAGAAUCCCGUGAACCAUCGAGUCUUUGAACGCAAGUUGCGCCCGAAGCCAUUAGGCCGAGGGCACGCCUGCCUGGGUGUCACACGUCGUUGCCCCCCCAUCUACUCCUUCGGGAUUGCGGGGGGCGGAUGAUGGCCUCCCGUGCGCCUCGUCGCGCGGUUGGCAUAAAUGCCAAGUCCUCGGCGACGCACGCCACGACAAUCGGUGGUUGCGAAACCUCGGUUGCCCGUCGUGUGCGGUCGUCGCGCAUCGAGGGCUCGAAAAAAUUGCCGGGCUCCGGCUCGGCUUUCAACGCGACCCCAGGUCAGGCGGGGUUACCCGCUGAAUUUAAGCAUAUCAAUAAGCGGGAGGA
rnacentral:misc_RNA from 1 species